rnacentral:rRNA from 1 species
UGGGGAAUUUUGGACAAUGGGCGAAAGCCUGAUCCAGCCAUGCCGCGUGAGUGAAGAAGGCCUUCGGGUUGUAAAGCUCUUUUAGUCGGAAAGAAAGAGUUGCAAUGAAUAAUUGUGAUUUAUGACGGUACCGACAGAAAAAGCACCGGCUAACUACGUGCCAGCAGCCGCGGUAAUACGUAGGGUGCGAGCGUUAAUCGGAAUUACUGGGCGUAAAGGGUGCGCAGGCGGUCUUGCAAGUCAGAUGUGAAAGCCCCGGGCUUAACCUGGGAAUUGCGUUUGAAACUACAAGGCUAGAGUGCAGCAGAGGUGAGUGGAAGUCCAUGUGUAGCAGUGAAAUGCGUAGAGAUGUGGAAGAACACCGAUGGCGAAGGCAGCUCCCUGGGUUGACACUGACGCUCAUGCACGAAAGCGUGGGGAGCAAACA